rnacentral:rRNA from 1 species
AUUGAACGCUGGCGGCAGGCUUAACACAUGCAAGUCGAACGGUAACAGGAGAAAGCUUGCUUUCUUGCUGACGAGUGGCGGACGGGUGAGUAAUGCUUGGGAAUCUGGCUUAUGGAGGGGGAUAACGACGGGAAACUGUCGCUAAUACCGCGUAGUGUCGAGAGAUGAAAGUGCGGGACCUUCGGGCCGCAUGCCAUAGGAUGAGCCCAAGUGGGAUUAGGUAGUUGGUGGGGUAAAGGCCUACCAAGCCGACGAUCUCUAGCUGGUCUGAGAGGAUGACCAGCCACACCGGGACUGAGACACGGCCCGGACUCCUACGGGAGGCAGCAGUGGGGAAUAUUGCGCAAUGGGGGCAACCCUGACGCAGCCAUGCCGCGUGAAUGAAGAAGGCCUUCGGGUUGUAAAGUUCUUUCGGUAUUGAGGAAGGUUGUUGUGUUAAUAGCACGACAAAUUGACGUUAAAUACAGAAGAAGCACCGGCUAACUCCGUGCCAGCAGCCGCGGUAAUACGGAGGGUGCGAGCGUUAAUCGGAAUAACUGGGCGUAAAGGGCACGCAGGCGGACUUUUAAGUGAGGUGUGAAAUCCCCGGGCUUAACCUGGGAAUUGCAUUUCAGACUGGGAGUCUAGAGUACUUUAGGGAGGGGUAGAAUUCCACGUGUAGCGGUGAAAUGCGUAGAGAUGUGGAGGAAUACCGAAGGCGAAGGCAGCCCCUUGGGAAUGUACUGACGCUCAUGUGCGAAAGCGUGGGGAGCAAACAGG